UUAGCUAAAGCACCUGUCUCAUAAACAGGAGAUCCUGGGUUCAACUUCCAGUGGUGCCUUGUGGCCUUUGCUCACAUUUUCCUA
rnacentral:miRNA from 1 species